CAGGUUACAGAUUUAAACCCCCUAAACCACCAAUUUCUGUAGUUGUAAUUGCAUCAUGACAGACUGUGGAAAAUACAUGAAGACCUUUAGGUAGUUAUCAGACUUACAGAAAAAUAAUUUCCCAGUCAGCAAACAUAUGCUCCUGCACUCUUGCACCACAGUCCAGUUGGCUUGAUCUCUUGAUUCAAGGUUUACAUCUCUUGAAAGGGUGCAUCUGCAAUUGCCCAGGACAGUGACAAGAAGGCCUUUAUUAAUGAAGUUAUAACUAGGAAACUAUUCUCUCGUUAGGCUGGCAGAUACCUAAAACAUGUUGAUAGGAUUGUUUCAUGCCUUGUCUUCUACACCUCAGUAUCCUUUGGAUUACAUGUAAUAGCACUAUGGGAGUUAAUGUUGUCAUCCUUUAUUUCAUGCUUUAUAUUGCCCAAGUACAUAAUUUUUCUUUUUUUUUUUAAGAACUCCAGAUAUCUGCUGGAUUUCAGGAGUUAUCAUUAGCAGAGAGAGGAGGCCGUCGUAGAGAUUUUCACGAUCUUGGUGUGAAUACAAGGCAGAACCUAGACCAUGUUAAAGAAUCAAAAACAGGUUCUUCAGGCAUUAUAGUAAGGUUAAGCACUAACCAUUUCCGGCUAACAUCCCGUCCCCAGUGGGCCUUAUAUCAGUAUCAUAUUGACUAUAACCCACUGAUGGAAGCCAGAAGACUCCGUUCAGCUCUUCUUUUUCAACAUGAAGAUCUAAUUGGAAAAUGUCAUGCUUUUGAUGGAACGAUAUUAUUUUUACCUAAAAGACUACAGCAAAAGGUUACUGAAGUUUUUAGUAAGACCCGGAAUGGAGAGGAUGUGAGGAUAACGAUCACUUUAACAAAUGAACUUCCACCUACAUCACCAACUUGUUUGCAGUUCUAUAAUAUUAUUUUCAGGAGGCUUUUGAAAAUCAUGAAUUUGCAACAAAUUGGACGAAAUUAUUAUAACCCAAAUGACCCAAUUGAUAUUCCAAGUCACAGGUUGGUAAUUUGGCCUGGCUUCACUACUUCCAUCCUUCAGUAUGAAAACAGCAUCAUGCU
rnacentral:sRNA from 1 species